rnacentral:rRNA from 1 species
GUGACUCAUGUUCAACGGCCGCGGUAUCCUAACCGUGCGAAGGUAGCGUAAUCACUUGUUCUUUAAAUGGGGACUAGUAUGAAUGGCACCACGAGGGUUAUACUGUCUCCCUUUUCCAAUCAGUGAAACUAAUCUCCCUGUGAAGAAGCAGGGAUAAAAAUAUAAGACGAGAAGACCCUAUGGAGCUUUAAAUUUCAAUUCAAAUGCCCUCCAACCCUAAAAGUUUCCAACUUUACUCUCACAAACCCGGCAUAAUGAAGUAGAAUUUUAGGUUGGGGUGACCGCGGAGUACAAAACAACCUCCACAUUGAACUAGGCCUAUUACCUUGAGCAACGAACUACAAUCCUAUGCACAAAAAAAUUUACAUUCAUUGACCCA